UACGAAGGGGGCGAGCGUUGUUCGGAUUUACUGGGCGUAAAGGGCGCGCAGGCGGUCAUUUUUGUCGAGUGUGAAAGCCCCGGGCUUAACCUGGGAACUGCGCUCGAAACGGGAUGACUAGAGAUCGGGAGAGGAGAGUGGAAUUCCCAGUGUAGAGGUGAAAUUCGUAGAUAUCAGGAAGAACACCCGUGGCGAAGGCGGCUCUCUGGGACGGUACUGACGCUGAGACGCGAAAGCGUGGGGAGCGAACAGG
rnacentral:rRNA from 1 species